rnacentral:rRNA from 1 species
AAAUUGAAGAGUUUGAUCAUGGCUCAGAUUGAACGCUGGCGGCAGGCCUAACACAUGCAAGUCGAACGGUAACAGGAAGCAGCUUGCUGCUUCGCUGACGAGUGGCGGACGGGUGAGUAAUGUCUGGGAAACUGCCUGAUGGAGGGGGAUAACUACUGGAAACGGUGGCUAAUACCGCAUAACGUCGCAAGACCAAAGAGGGGGACCUUCGGGCCUCUUGCCAUCAGAUGUGCCCAGAUGGGAUUAGCUUGUUGGUGAGGUAACGGCUCACCAAGGCGACGAUCCCUAGCUGGUCUGAGAGGAUGACCAGCCACACUGGAACUGAGACACGGUCCAGACUCCUACGGGAGGCAGCAGUGGGGAAUAUUGCACAAUGGGCGCAAGCCUGAUGCAGCCAUGCCGCGUGUAUGAAGAAGGCCUUCGGGUUGUAAAGUACUUUCAGCGGGGAGGAAGGUGUUGUGGUUAAUAACCGCAGCAAUUGACGUUACCCGCAGAAGAAGCACCGGCUAACUCCGUGCCAGCAGCCGCGGUAAUACGGAGGGUGCAAGCGUUAAUCGGAAUUACUGGGCGUAAAGCGCACGCAGGCGGUCUGUCAAGUCGGAUGUGAAAUCCCCGGGCUCAACCUGGGAACUGCAUUCGAAACUGGCAGGCUUGAGUCUUGUAGAGGGGGGUAGAAUUCCAGGUGUAGCGGUGAAAUGCGUAGAGAUCUGGAGGAAUACCGGUGGCGAAGGCGGCCCCCUGGACAAAGACUGACGCUCAGGUGCGAAAGCGUGGGGAGCAAACAGGAUUAGAUACCCUGGUAGUCCACGCCGUAAACGAUGUCUACUUGGAGGUUGUGCCCUUGAGGUGUGGCUUCCGGAGCUAACGCGUUAAGUAGACCGCCUGGGGAGUACGGCCGCAAGGUUAAAACUCAAAUGAAUUGACGGGGGCCCGCACAAGCGGUGGAGCAUGUGGUUUAAUUCGAUGCAACGCGAAGAACCUUACCUGGUCUUGACAUCCACAGAACUUUCCAGAGAUGGGAGGUGCCUUCGGGAACUGUGAGACAGGUGCUGCAUGGCUGUCGUCAGCUCGUGUUGUGAAAUGUUGGGUUAAGUCCCGCAACGAGCGCAACCCUUAUCCUUUGUUGCCAGCGGUCCGGCCGGGAACUCAAAGGAGACUGCCAGUGAUAAACUGGAGGAAGGUGGGGAUGACGUCAAGUCAUCAUGGCCCUUACGACCAGGGCUACACACGUGCUACAAUGGCGCAUACAAAGAGAAGCGACCUCGCGAGAGCAAGCGGACCUCAUAAAGUGCGUCGUAGUCCGGAUUGGAGUCUGCAACUCGACUCCAUGAAGUCGGAAUCGCUAGUAAUCGUGGAUCAGAAUGCCACGGUGAAUACGUUCCCGGGCCUUGUACACACCGCCCGUCACACCAUGGGAGUGGGUUGCAAAAGAAGUAGGUAGCUUAACCUUCGGGAGGGCGCUUACCACUUUGUGAUUCAUGACUGGGGUGAAGUCGUAACAAGGUAACCGUAGGGGAACCUGCGGUUGGAUCACCUCCUUACCUUAAAGAAGC